rnacentral:rRNA from 1 species
UACGGAGGAUGCAAGCGUUAUCCGGAUUCAUUGGGUUUAAAGGGUGCGUAGGCGGAUUAAUAAGUCAGUGGUGAAAUCUUGCGGCUCAACCGUAACAUUGCCAUUGAUACUGUUAGUCUUGAAUGCAGUUGAGGUAGGCGGAAUGUGUAAUGUAGCGGUGAAAUGCUUAGAUAUUACACAGAACACCGAUUGCGAAGGCAGCUUGCUAAACUGUGAUUGACGCUGAUGCACGAAAGCGUGGGGAUCAAACAGGAUUAGAAACCCCAGUAGUCC